rnacentral:rRNA from 1 species
UACGGAAGGCAGCAGUGGGGAAUAUUGCACAAUGGGCGAAAGCCUGAUGCAGCUAUGCCGCGUGUAUGAAGAAGGCCUUAGGGUUGUAAAGUACUUUUCAUCGGGGAGGAAAAAACAAAACUAAUAAUUUUAUUUCUUGACGUUACCCGAAAAAGAAGCACCGGCUAACUCCGUGCCAGCAGCCGCGGUAAUACGGAGGGUGCUAGCGUUAAUCAGAAUUACUGGGCGUAAAGAGCACGUAGGUGGUUUUUUUAAGUUCAGAUGUGAAAUCCCUGGGCUUAACCUAGGAACUGCAUUUUGAAACUGAAAUACUAGAGUAUCGUAGAGGGAGGUAGAAUUCUAGGUGUAGCGGUGAAAUGCGUAGAUAUCUGGAGGAAUACCUGUGGCGAAAGCGGCCUCCUAAACGAAUACUGACACUGAGGUGCGAAAGCGUGGGGAGCAAACAGGGAUUAGAUACC